rfam:Homo sapiens chromosome 1, GRCh38 reference primary assembly.
GCUGGGUAUGGUGAUGUGUUCCUGUGGUCCCAGCUACAUGGGAAGCCGAGAUAGGGGGCUUGCUUGGGCCCGGGAGGUCGAGGCUGCAGUGAGCCAUAACUGCACCACUGCACUCCAGCCUGGGUGACAGAGCAAGACCCUGUCUCAA